rnacentral:rRNA from 1 species
CGGCGGCCACCGCUAUARSARWUCGAUUAAGACAUGCGAGUCGAGAGUCUUCGGGACUCGGCGGACUGCUCAGUAACACGUGGAUAACAUGCCCUUUAGGAGGGGGAUAAUCUCGAGAAAUUGAGGAUAAUACCCCAUAGGCCAUGAAUGCUGGAAUGCUUUAUGGCCCAAAGCUCCGGCGCCUAAGGAUUGGUCUGCGGCCUAUCAGGUUGUAGUGGGUGUAACGGACCCACUAGCCUAUGACGGGUAUGGGCCUUGAGAGAGGGAGCCCAGAGAUGGACUCUGAGACACGAGUCCAGGCCCUACGGGGCGCAGCAGUCGCGAAACCUUCACACUGGGGGAAACCCUGAUGAGGGAAUUCCUAGUGCCUGCAUUUUUUGUAGGCUUUUAUCUAGUGUAGAUAGCUAGAAGAAUAAGGGCCGGGUAAGACGGGUGCCAGCCGCCGCGGUAAUACCCGCGGCCCAAGUGGUGGUCGAUAUUAUUGAGUCUAAAACGUCCGUAGCCGGUUCAGUAAAUCUUUGGGUAAAUCGGCCAGCUUAACUGACCGAAUUCCGAAGAGACUGCUGAACUUGGGACCGGGAGAGGCCAGAGGUACUUCUGGGGUAGGGGUAAAAUCCUGUAAUCCUAGAAGGACCACCGGUGGCGAAGGCGUCUGGCUAGAACGGAUCCGACGGUGAGGGACGAAGCCCUGGGGCGCAAACGGGAUUAGAUACCCCGGUAGUCCAGGGUGUAAACGCUGCAGGCUUGGUGUUGGGGGUCCUUCGGGGGCGCCCAGUGCCGGAGAGAAGUUGUUAAGCCUGCUACUUGGGGAGUACGUCCGCAAGGAUGAAACUUAAAGGAAUUGGCGGGGGAGCACSGCAWCSGGAGGAGCGUGCGGUUAAUG